UAAUAAAGGCCUACUAGGGCCUUUUAUAUGACAGUGUAACUGGAUCUUGGUUCAUGCUGAGCUUAAAAUUUGAUCUUCUGAAUAUCAGCAGAAAGACUCUUUCUGGUGAAUACAGAUCUUCUAAGCAAUUAUCGACUGACUUUGUCAUUAGACUGCCCUUUCAGAAGGUACAAAAAAAGAAAAAGAAAAUUACUAUUGUGAAGUGAAGUCUGAGCAACUGGGAAGAAAUGCAAGGUGAAAUGAAAUGGUGAAGUUGUCAGUGACAUGAAUCUUUGCUCCCUUCUUCAUGGAAUAUUUCUGAUCUAAUAGCCCCUAUAUUUCAAAAGAUGGAUAUAAACAUCAGAUGAAUAUCACAGGAAAGCUGGAUUGCUCUGCAGUGAGUGAAACGUGGAAAGGCCUUUCCCCACCAAGCAGUAGGCC
rnacentral:lncRNA from 1 species